CUGUGUGUGUGUGUGUGUGUGUGUGUGUGAGAGAGAGAGAGAGAGAGAGAGAGAGAGAGUCAGCCUGUAGAAUAUUGAAGAUUUAAGUUGUGUAUGCAGGUCUAAAAGAGAGAGUGUGUGUUGCGCGUGGCUUGUGCGUGAGAGAGAGUGAUUCAAAGGAGGGGGGGUGUGUUUAUGGGAAAUUGAGAUUCUGUGUGUGUGUGUGUGUGUGUGUGUGUGUGUGUGUGUGUGUGUUUACACAGACGGGAAUACUGCGCCAGAGGAAGUGCGCCGGUUCUCCGUCUGCGCGUCCCGACUUCCUGCUCUGAGGAGGGGAGAGAGAAAAGCUGCGGAUCCGCUUUCAGAGAGCAGCAGCGGCGGCAGCAGCAUGGAACCCCAACACAACACACACUCCCCGCUUUAAGACACAAACACACACACACACCGCGCACGGGCGAGACGGACAGAGGAACAGCCGCCGUCCACAGCUGGAUCGCUUGUGAUCGUCAUGGAGAGCUCCAUCACACUCUGGCAGUUCCUGCUGCAGCUUCUGCUCGACCAAAGUCACAAACAUCUCAUCUGCUGGACGUCCAACGAUGGCGAGUUCAAACUGCUCAAGUCAGAGGAAGUGGCCAAGCUGUGGGGGCUGCGCAAGAACAAGACCAACAUGAACUAUGACAAGCUGAGCAGAGCCCUGCGCUACUACUAUGAUAAAAACAUCAUCAAGAAGGUAAUUGGCCAGAAGUUUGUCUACAAGUUUGUGUCAUUCCCUGAGAUUCUGAAGAUGGAUCCUGCUGUGGUGGAGUCAGGUCGUAGCAGUGAGGAAAGUGUGGGCGUGACGUCAGAGCCUGAUGCUGAGGACGAGGAUGGGGGUGGGAGAAACGAAUACCUCCACUCCGGCCUGUACUCCUCCUUCACUGUCAGCUCCCUGCAGCACUCCUUAGAACGACACCAGCCGAUCAAGAUGGAGCCCAGAUCUGAUCGCCAUGACGACAGCUCCUCUGUCAUCCGAUUCAUAACUAACCGUGGCCACUCCUCCCUGCCCUCCACUCCACCGCCAUCCUCGACUGACACCUCACAUUCCUCCCGCCUGUCUCCUCGGCAGGCCUGCUCUUCCUCCUGCUCCUCCUCCCCGCAACGAAGCCCCACCCACAUGAAAUGGAGGGGGCGGAGCCAGAGCACAGAUACUGAUGAGUUAGAGCAGAUGGCUCAACCCCUAAACCUGUCAUCAGGUCAGAGAGAGAGGGAGAGGUCACAGACCACCACCACGUCAGAGAGGAGGGGACUGGCCAAUGGUGUGCCUUUGAAGAGCAGGAAACCCAAAGGCUUGGAAAUCUCCGCCCCCUCCCUCCUCUUGACAGGGAGUGACCUCGUCUCCAUCGCCCUCAACAGCCCGGCACUGCCCUCAGGCUCCCUGACCCCUGCCUUCCUCACUACACAGAUAUUUAAUUUGGGGUUUUGUCUGUGUAGACUCCGUCUGGUCUGCUGCUCACUCCCAGCCCUCUACUCUCCAAUAUCCAUUUCUGGUCCAGCCUGAGUCCAGUGGGACCACUCAGCCCUGCCCAACGUCAGAGCCACGCCCCCCUCUUCCAGUUCCCCACUCUGUUGAAUGGACCCAUCCCAGUGCCUCUGCCCAACAUGGAUGCUCCAACUCCCCUGCUGUUGUCCCCCAGCUCCCAAAAGUCCUGAUGUCAGCUUGAGAAACCUGGGUCAAACCAGACUGAGCUGGUCCAAUUCAGCGCAGAUCAGGACUGAGCCAAUCGAUCUUAAUCUCUGAUGAUGAACCACAUUGGAGUCAGACUUCCCCUGAGUCUGAUUAUACUUUGAUCUGAAACCUGUUUCUUUACAUUUAUUAUAUGAAGAAACAGAAGCUUCACUCUGAAGCUUUGCUCUCUGAGAAGAGUAUUUGCGUAUUAGACGUUUCUUGUGUGUUUACUACAGUUUAACUGCUCAUGUUGUUCUCGUUCUCCUCUUUUCAGGAUGUAAAAGCCUCUUCACUUUCUGCAAGAAAAAUUGACUGGAGGUCACGCUUCUCAUCUCAUUUUAUCUCAUCUCGUUCCACAUGGUUUUAACUUCACUGACUGGUUGCAGUUUCAUGAGUGUAAUUGCUAUUUUUAAAUUCCUGCCCUGACUAAUCUCCGUAUCCACAACUCUGAUUCAAACAAUAGAGAUCUGGGGAAAUCCUUGCCAGAAAUAAUGAGAUAACAAGACCUCACAGAAACAGACAGAAGGCUUUACGAGUGUAAUAUAGUAUGUCAGAAGAGACUCAACUACAGCUUUAUGUAAAACAUGUUCACCUUGCUACCAUACAGGAAAAGGAAAUGGGUUUGUUUUAUUGCCGACAGUUAGCAUUACCUGACUGACUUUUGUGUCUGUAUGCUUACAAUGACACUACAGCCAAGAGACAGUUAGCUUAUGUAAACAUAAAAAAUGAUGGGGAUACGGUUUGUCUAGCUCUGUCUAAAGAUAACAGAAACUGCCAGUUGCUAAAAGCUCAUGGAUGGAUGCAUUAUCUAAAACCAGAGUAAAAAUUACAGUUUGUGAUUUUACAGAGGAUUAAAUGUUGCUUUGUCAAAUUCAUAUUGAUACCAAGACUCUAAGAGGCCAGGAUGCCAAGCAAUAGGUCACCACAUAACCCACCUAAAACCACAACUUGUAAUUUUUACACUUUGGUUUUUGUAGGGAUUAACCAAAAAAUGGUGAUAAUGUAAGUAGAUUUUAUUUUCUGUGGACAAAAACCAGGUUAGCUGUUUCCCUGUUUAAAGUCUUAAUGCAAGUGGUAUCCUCUCAACUCUCAGCAAGAAAACAAAUAAUUCUCUAAAUAUUUCUUGAUCAUAAAAUGUGACCAUAACUAGAUGAUUAGAUGCUACAGGUUUGAUAAGCCAGUAAAGGAAUCUUGCUAUGACUGAUAACAAGUAGAGGAUGAUGAUACUGUCUUUUUCUCUGUGCUAAGCCUUCCUUUUAAUAGACCAUAUUUCUAAAUGUGCUCAACUUCAGACACUGCAGGUCUCAGGAUUAUUAUUACAGUUAUUUUACACAACAAGAAUUUGUCCAGAUCUGGAUUCUUUGAGCUGGACAUGUGGCCACAUGAGAUGAAACCUUUACUGACCCCUAGCAGAACAACUGCUAGCUAGAGCAAACACUCUGGAAGUCUUUAUCUUGUCUUUUGUAUUGCUUUGACAAGUGUACUUGACGCUGUGAACUUUUAUUCCCUUUUAGUUCAAUGCUUUUUUUUUUUUUUUGAAAAUGCACUGUAUUUUUAUGCCUUGUACCAGCUGUGCCUUUGAUAUUGUAAGAUUUAUGUAAAUGUAUUAAGCUUUAAACAAAGUUGUAAUAGACAUUCCAGGUCAAAAUUGCACAAAAGUUUUUUUUGUAAAAUGGCUCCUGGUUAUUUUUUUAUACAAAAAUUAAUGGAAGUGUAUUCUCAGUGAUUUGCUUAUUCUUGCUGUUUUGUUGAGAUAAAUGUUUUUUGGAAUAAAACUGUUUUUUGGAAUAAAAUGA